rnacentral:rRNA from 1 species
GAGUUUGAUCCUGGCUCAGGAUGAACGCUAGCUACAGGCUUAACACAUGCAAGUCGAGGGGAAACGACAUCGAAAGCUUGCUUUUGAUGGGCGUCGACCGGCGCACGGGUGAGUAACGCGUAUCCAACCUGCCCACCACUUGGGGAUAACCUUGCGAAAGUAAGACUAAUACCCAAUGAUAUCUCUAGAAGACAUCUGAAAGAGAUUAAAGAUUUAUCGGUGAUGGAUGGGGAUGCGUCUGAUUAGCUUGUUGGCGGGGUAACGGCCCACCAAGGCAACGAUCAGUAGGGGUUCUGAGAGGAAGGUCCCCCACAUUGGAACUGAGACACGGUCCAAACUCCUACGGGAGGCAGCAGUGAGGAAUAUUGGUCAAUGGACGAGAGUCUGAACCAGCCAAGUAGCGUGCAGGAUGACGGCCCUAUGGGUUGUAAACUGCUUUUAUAAGGGAAUAAAGUGAGUCUCGUGAGACUUUUUGCAUGUACCUUAUGAAUAAGGACCGGCUAAUUCCGUGCCAGCAGCCGCGGUAAUACGGAAGGUCCGGGCGUUAUCCGGAUUUAUUGGGUUUAAAGGGAGCGUAGGCCGGAGAUUAAGCGUGUUGUGAAAUGUAGACGCUCAACGUCUGCACUGCAGCGCGAACUGGUUUCCUUGAGUACGCACAAAGUGGGCGGAAUUCGUGGUGUAGCGGUGAAAUGCUUAGAUAUCACGAAGAACUCCGAUUGCGAAGGCAGCUCACUGGAGCGCAACUGACGCUGAAGCUCGAAAGUGCGGGUAUCGAACAGGAUUAGAUACCCUGGUAGUCCGCACGGUAAACGAUGGAUGCCCGCUGUUGGUCUGAAUAGGUCAGCGGCCAAGCGAAAGCAUUAAGCAUCCCACCUGGGGAGUACGCCGGCAACGGUGAAACUCAAAGGAAUUGACGGGGGCCCGCACAAGCGGAGGAACAUGUGGUUUAA